rnacentral:rRNA from 1 species
CAAUAGCGUGUAUUAAAGUUGUUGCGGUUAAAAAGCUCGUAGUUGGAUUUCUGCUGAGAACGACCGGUCCGCCCUUUGGGUGUGUAUCUGGCUCUUUCUUGGCAUCUUCUUGGUGAACGUUGCUGCACUUGACUGUGUGGAGCGCUACCCAGGACUUUUACUUUGAGGAAAUUAGAGUGUUUCAAGCAGGCAUACGCCUUGAAUACAUUAGCAUGGAAUAAUAAGAUAGGACCUCGGUUCUAUUUUGUUGGUUUCUAGAGCUGAGGUAAUGAUUAAUAGGGAUAGUUGGGGGCAUUCGUAUUUAACUGUCAGAGAUGAAAUUCUUGGAUUUGUUAAAGACGGACUACUGCGAAAGCAUUUGCCAAGGAUGUUUUCAUUGA